UGACUUCUCCCAUCUUCACGGGCCGCGC
rnacentral:sRNA from 1 species